CCAGGCAUCACGAAUUGUGAUGAGUUCUACGACAAACGAUUGGUGGACUUGCUGAGACGCCCCUACAACAAGGAACGACAUGAUAAUUAUCACUAUGUUGUGAUUGGAAGGUCUAACUCAACAUCUCUUCGUUGAAAAUCAUCAGCACUGAUUUCACCUUCUCCAACGUGAUCCAAGGUAUGAAGAUCCCCUAUGGUAUGGAGAUUGUUAUAGACCCC